rnacentral:tRNA from 1 species
GAGUAGCCAGCCGCAAUGGCUUUUUCAGUUUCCUAAACUGUAGGCCACUGGUUCGAAUCCAGUCGGGAUCACCA